rnacentral:rRNA from 1 species
CCUACGGGGGGCAGCAGUAGGGAAUAUUGCACAAUGGAGGAAACUCUGAUGCAGCGACGCCGCGUGAGUGACGAAGGCCUUCGGGUUGUAAAGCUCUGUUCUCAGGGAAAUUGUACCUGAGAAGAAAGGACCGGCUAACUUCGUGCCAGCAGCCGCGGUAAGACGAGGGGUCCAAGCGUUGUUCGGAAUCAUUGGGCGUAAAGCGGGUGUAGGCGGCCUUAUAAGUCAGAAGUGAAAGCCCCGGGCUUAACCUGGGAAGUGCUUUUGAUACUGCAAGGCUUGAAUGUGGGAGAGGGUAGUGGAAUUCCUGGUGUAGUGGUGAAAUACGUAGAUAUCAGGAGGAACACCGGUGGCGAAGGCGGCUACCUGGCCCAAAUGACGCUGAGACCCGAAAGCAUGGGGAUCAAACAGGAUUAGAUACCCUGGUAGUC